rnacentral:lncRNA from 1 species
CCUUGCUCAGCGGGUUAAGGAUCCAGCAUUUCCGUUAGCUGUGGUGUAGGUCACAGACGCUGUUCAGAUCCCAUGUUGCUGCGGCUGUGGUGUAGGCCGGCAGUUACAGCUCCAAUUUGACCCCUAGCCUGGGAACCUCCUUAUGCCAUAGGUGUGGGCCUAAAAAGACAAAAAAAAAAAAAAAAAAAAAAAAAAAGCCUUAUUUCUCCUUUGCCUGAAAUGGAGCAAAAUUAAGCAGAUGAAAUUAAACCCACUGAAGAUGUCUUUUCUAUGGGCUUUUCUGGGUCAUGGAGUAAACUUCCUUCCUUCAAUCUGUCAUCUAAUAAUGGCCUUCUCUCCUUUUUUCCUUGCUAACCUUUCUAUUUCUUAAAUAAUGACUUCAUUUGUAAGGAUAAAAACUUUAUGUAGUGGAAACAAUAUCAACUUGUGAAAUUGGAGCAUAAGAUCAAUGGGUGUGAUUUUAAAGAGAGCAAUUGUAAUAUCAAUGAGGAUGAGAACUCUUACGAGUUAGAGAUAAAUAUUUUCAAGUUUUAACAAAUAGCUGUUCAGAAUUUGUCAUGUACUCUGUCAGGCACUCACUGCUGGUGACGCCAAGAUUAAAAAGCUGAUGUGCCCUUACAAAGGUGGACUAGAGAAGAAGUGAAUUCAACUGUAAGGAACAAAAAUGGCUUAAACAUAGAAAGAUUUAUUCUUUUCCAGAAAAGAAGUCUAGAGGAGAUAAUCCAGGGAUGGAAUAGAGACUUCACCAAGUCACUGGAUAUUGGGCUCCUUUGAGCUUUCUGUUCCAUCACCUUCAGCUGGUGGCUUCCAUCCUGAAGGCCACUGCAUGAUUGAGAUGGCUUUCUUAGAGCUAGCCGUCCCCUCUUCUCCUCAGGCAGCAGGAAGAUGGAAGGAGGUAAGGACAAAAGGUCUACCCUUCCAUCUGAAUAUGUUCUCCUUUCACAAUCUUCCUCUAAGUUCCAGAAAACUUUGCUUCUUCUAUCUCAUUGAUCAGAAUUUCAUCACAUGACCAUACUUGGCAAAGGAGGCUGCAGAGGUAAUUUCUACGCAGGCUUAUUGUCACCCUCUAUGCCUAAAAAGAGGGACAAAUGAGUAUUGGGUGGCAAUUUCCAUUUUCUGCUAUAGGAAGUUAAAAUCUACUUGGGGAAGCAAGAACCUGAAGUCUUAAAGAGGCAAUUAAUAGUAUAUUGGGGAGGGGCAAGUGAUGGGUUGCUAAAAUUUGGAGGAGGCAGUGUAGGUGUCAAGGCACUCCAGGAAAGUGUCUUGGAAGAACUAGGAUUUGAAGUCCUUUUUGAGGAUGAGAAGGACUCAGGAGACACAAAAGACUGGGGAAGAUAUCUCAGCAGGAAAGCAAUGACCUCAGCAGAAGCCUAGAAGCUGGACAAUGCAGAUCAGCUCUCGGGGCAGAAGCAACAGAGACCAAAUGUUAAGCUGCAGAGUAAUGGAGUCUUUGGCUGGAAGGGAAGGAAAACAGACUGAUUUUUUUUUGUAAUUGUCUAAGGCACUAAGACCACUUGGCCAGGAUAAAAUGUGAAUACUGAACUUCCUUGUUACUGGAAUUGACACUCCUGUAUUUAUACACAACUCACGCCAGUAGAAAUGAUCGCACUGUUUACUCCAGUAAGUUUCACUCAUUUUGGGAUUGUCCAAGAUAGCACAAAGAGUGUAGCCAGUGACUAUAUGACAACACUAAUCAAAAUAAAGACGUGGGAUGCCUGAGCCGACAGCCCAAGGCUAUAAUUCAUUAAAUGGAGGAAGAAAAAGCCUACAGAUAGAGAGUUCUGGGCCCCUCUCCUAAAUAUUAAUUGUUUAUUUCAUGAUUCUUCUCCACUCUAAACAGACCUUAAACUGCCCCUUCUUAAUAUGCUCCCAUAAAGGAUUAUAAACUAGAAAGGAGGUUGGUUUAAACAAAGUAAUCAGAAAGUAAGCAACCUUCUUCUCUUUCUCUCUGGCUGGAAACUUGUUUUGUCUGUUAAGGAACUUUUCUCUUCAGCACACAGACCUCAAGGUCAAACAGAGGUCACUCUUCUGCUUUUUGAGGUAUGGGUGCUUUCACGUUAUUUGCUCAUUUUUAUUGCUGAGAAUAACCAUCCAUUUGCCCACAUAACCAGGGCCUCCUCAACACAAAGACUUGAGAGUGGGCACUGGCAGGGGGUUAAUCCCAUUCAACACAAAGCAAACAAGUUCAAAUCUCAUUAAAUGUCGGACUUUGCUGCAAGAAUACAAAUAUUUCCAAUUUAGAAAAGGAAGAUAGAAAUGUGACACAGAAGUAUUCUAAUCAUUUAGUAGAAUAAAUCGUACCAACAUGAUCCUAAAACUGUCAACUGGGUGGAAAAAAAGAAUAAAACUCCAUUAAUAAUACAACAGUAAUGCUUACUUUUUCACAUGAGGAAAAUUCCAUUAUAACAAACAGCCCGAGGCUUUCAAAUUGCUUUUGUUCUAGAUCAGUGGAAUAUUGUUAUAAAGAAUAUAUUACUAGCAAUGAUAGUUUGGGUCUGAAGAUGAAACCUAGCUGAUUUUUUAUAGUGAACUAACAGAGAUGGCAGUGCCAUGUGUGAAUAACCUCCUUUGUGCAAAUUUUUAAAAGGUAGACUUUUCAUGUGGGCACACGGCUUGGUGAGGAGAAUGCAGGUUGGCAUUCAACUCCAUUUGCCUCCUCAGUCAGAGCACCUUCUGCAGAUGCUCUGGUUGCACAAGAUUGUUCUUUUAAGACCUAUGUUAAGUUGAUUCUCUGAAAUUACUUUCCUUGAGUCUAUGGGAUGAACCUUCUGUAUGCCUCCUUUUUAGCUAUAAGGUCCUCUGUGAUAGAAUUUCUCAUUCAAAGAUGUGGACCAAUGUUUUUUCCUUUGGUAAAUUCAUCCUACAAGGAUCUUGCGAGGCCCCUGUAUCCCUAACAAUGCCAUGAUCAUGGUGCCUCGGGCAAGAUACAGGCCAAGGUUGGCCAGAGGCCUUGACCUUACAGGCAGGAUCCUCAACUGCCCUGUGAUCGCCAAGGGAGCAGUCUUAGCUUGGGCUCCCUUAAGAGCAGAUCUUAAGACAAAGAUUUGGAUAUGAAUAGUUAACUUUGGAGGUAGUCCCAGGAGGCACAGUGGGUUGAGGAAAUGAGACAAGGAAAAGACAACUGGCAAUAGAGCUGGCUAUGGUUGUGGGUAGCUGGGGUCCCAUCCCACUGCAGACCCUGUGAGGGACUUGUGAAACACACCUCAGAAUUGUCCCACCAGGAGUUAUUGUCAUUGCUCAGGGGUUAGCGAACCCAACUAGCAUUCAUGAGAACGCGGGUUCGAUCCCUGGCCUUGCUCAGUAGGUUAAGGAUCUGGCAUUGCCCUGAGCUGUGGGAUAGGUCAAAGACGUGGCUCAGAUCCUGCAUUGCUGUGGCUCUGGCAUAGGCCGGCAGCUGCAG